rnacentral:rRNA from 8 species
UUGACCUCGAAUCAGGUAGGGAUACCCGCUGAACUUAAGCAUAUCAAUAAGCGGAGG